rnacentral:rRNA from 1 species
AUGCCUACGGGGGGCAGCAGUGGGGAAUAUUGCACAAUGGGGGAAACCCUGAUGCAGCAACGCCGCGUGAGUGAAGAAGGUUUUCGGAUUGUAAAGCUCUGUUAGCAGGGAAGAGGAAGGACAGUACCUGACUAAGAAGCCCCGGCUAACUACGUGCCAGCAGCCGCGGUAAUACGUAGGGGGCAAGCGUUAUCCGGAUUUACUGGGUGUAAAGGGAGCGUAGGCGGCCACGCAAGUCAGAAGUGAAAACCCGGGGCUCAACCCUGGGAGUGCGUUUGAAACUGUGCG